rnacentral:rRNA from 1 species
GAUGAACGCUGGCGGCGUGCUUAACACAUGCAAGUCGAACGGUGAAACAGGAGCUUGCUCCUGCGGAUCAGUGGCGAACGGGUGAGUAACACGUGAGCAAUCUGCCCCGGACUCUGGGAUAAGCGUUGGAAACGACGUCUAAUACCGGAUACGAGCUGCGAAGGCAUCUUCAGCAGCUGGAAAGAAUUUCGGUCCGGGAUGAGCUCGCGGCCUAUCAGCUUGUUGGUGAGGUAACGGCUCACCAAGGCGACGACGGGUAGCCGGCCUGAGAGGGUGACCGGCCACACUGGGACUGAGACACGGCCCAGACUCCUACGGGAGGCAGCAGUGGGGAAUAUUGCACAAUGGGCGCAAGCCUGAUGCAGCAACGCCGCGUGAGGGACGACGGCCUUCGGGUUGUAAACCUCUUUUAGUAGGGAAGAAGCGAAAGUGACGGUACCUGCAGAAAAAGCACCGGCUAACUACGUG